UUAUAAAAGACCACUGUGCAA
rnacentral:miRNA from 1 species